CAGCAGCCGCGGGAAUACGUAGGGCGCAAGCGUUAUCCGGAAUUAUUGGGCGUAAAGAGCUCGUAGGCGGUUUGUCGCGUCUGCCGUGAAAGUCCGGGGCUCAACCCCGGAUCUGCGGUGGGUACGGGCAGACUAGAGUGAUGUAGGGGAGACUGGAAUUCCUGGUGUAGCGGUGAAAUGCGCAGAUAUCAGGAGGAACACCGAUGGCGAAGGCAGGUCUCUGGGCAUUAACUGACGCUGAGGAGCGAAAGCAUGGGGAGCGAACAGGAUUAGAUACCCCAGUAGUCCCUGUCUCUUAUAA
rnacentral:rRNA from 1 species